AUGAAAUUGCAUUGGAAGAAGUGGAAGGAUAUUGCAAUACCUAAAGGAGAAGGAGGGAUGGGUUUUAGGGAUUUUGAAUUAUUCAACCAGGCUAUGCUGGCGAAACAAGGCUGGAGGUUGCUUACAUCACCAGAUUCUCUAUGCGCUAGAGUCUUAAAGGGUAAGUACUAUCAUGAUCAUGAAUUUAUGUCAGCUAAGAACAAAAGAGGAUCCUCGCAUAUUUGGAGAGCCAUUCUUCAUGGCAGAGAG
rnacentral:rRNA from 1 species